AGUGUUUCCUUCUUGAAUCUACAAAGAAUUUUUUUUUAAAAAGAAGAAAAAAAAAAGGGUCCAGUCUACUACUAGCAAGUUGUAUGUAAUGAAGUGGCCAGUAAGUGCAGUAGUGAUGGCUGGUUUGUAAAAGCCAAACAUAAAACAGAUGAUUUCAUCUUUGUGCAGUCUGAAUAUUUUGGGUCUGCAGAUGAUAAAGAUGAUGGUGAUUAUCUAAGACUGCUUAGUUCAUAGUCAUGAGGGUGGAUUUAACACCAGCUGUCACAGGACAAAAUAACUCACCUUGAUUUCAACUCUAAAGGAAAGAAAAGUGAAUUACAGAGUGCUGAAAACUAAUCUGUGGUUGUAGUCUGUACAGGUGGAUGUCGCUGAAGAAGCAGAACAAAGUACUGUUCUACGAGUUUACUCAGAUGAAGUGACUCCAUAACACAUCCCGGGAAUUAUAGGCUACGGUAAGACAGGGAAAUACUAGAUGUUUUUCCUGAAAUCACCAUGAAAAUGCCAGUACUUAAAACAACUUACAGUAUAAUAAUUUCAUUGUUUCCUGUACAAACCUGACUUGUUACUUCCUUAUUCUAGUACAAGUUAUAUACUAUUGGACUAUUCUUGCAGAUGUAGCCGGAUCUUUUCACAUUUGCACACCUCAGUUCAGGUGUGUGCACAUAACAGUGUUACCUUCAGUUUAACAGUAAACAGGUGAGAAAGCUGCUUUCAUAUUACACUCUUAGAAUUCAUAUAAACCAUUCAAAUUCAACCCUUUACACCCGUGUGUCAUCAUCGAUCUCUGCUGCCUGCGUAAACAUAGUUUUACUGCCAUACUUUUAGUUAAUGCAUUUGUUUUGCACUACGCACAUUUUAUAUGUCAUUAUGUCAUUUAUUGUGGAAAUUCUCAUGUAGGAACUACUGUACUGCAUGUUGGUUCCACUGGUGCAACUGUGUGAGAUGCACACCCAUGUUGAAGUAUGAGGUCGUGUCCAAAUUCAUGGGCUGUGUCCCAAUCCAGCAACCGCACGCUUCGGAGUACGCGCAGUUGGCGUACUACGUACGGCGCGUAUUAGGAAGUACAAGAAGUGCGGAAGUGAGAGGCUUGUUAAAUGGGAAGGGCCUUUCUCAAUAUGCGUACUUGCGUUCUCAUGUACUCGUGAUACGUCAUCAGUCGGAGACCAAGUACUGUUCCAAUUCGAAGUAUGCAUCAAGCCGAGAACGCGAAAAAGUCCCGGAUGUGUUCUCGCUCCGCCCGUUUUAUCGAGCAUGCAUCAGUGGUGACUUGUGUGGACUUGAUACAGCUAAAUAUCCCAGAAUGCAUUUCGUCCAAAACUCAAACGCGGCAAUGGCGGACGAGCGGGGCUAAAAACUUUUAAAUAUUACUCUUUCUGGGUCACAAAAUAAACUUUUAAGUUAUUUUCAAGCUAGAAUGUAGCUGUGUAAACUUCAAAUAUCUGCUCAAUUUAUCAAGAUAUCAUAUAUUUCCAAACGCGCUCCGACAUUUUCGGAGACGUCUGUGACCUGCCAGCUCCAUAGCAGACAGCGAGGUCGAGGAUUAUUAGAGCCGGCGAGAACAGCGGACUCCCGGAACAUCGUUUUCAACGAUUUAAGUCAUACAGAAUAGAUAUCAGAGCCUUAAACAGGCUGACUUCUGCUAAAUGGGUCAAACUGGGCAGAAAGUAUACAAACACAUAACAUCCUUAUGGAAUAUGAUGUAACACUAUAGAUCAACUUACCUCAAAAUACAUAAAGCAUAUAAACAAUUACAGCAAUACGAUACAACAAACACAGCAGUGCUACUAAUCCAAAAUACUCAAAGCUUCAUAGAACUGAAACAAACAUUUAUUUUUAGCUCCGUUCUGCUGCUGAUACAUACUUUAGGUUUCUGAAUAUUAAACUUGUUGCUGCCUUUCAUAGUGUGUAACUUGAAGGGCCUGAGUACUGAAAACACUGGAAUGAUAAAAUUAUUUGAACAUUUCCUAAUAAGACUGAUUCAGGACAGACAAUUAGUGAUGUUAAACUUUUCUAGCAGUCCUUCACAAACAGGGAACAGUCUGUCUAUUCUCUCCAUCUGUCAGCUGCUGCUGGCUCUUCCUCCUCCUCUUCCUCACACACUGCUGAGUUUGUCCUGGUGGAUCAUCAGGGGUGCAAAGCCUCACAGAUGAUGUGCAGCAGUGGGUCCCUCAGUCUGUCCUCACUCUGGACACUUGCAGUUGUCACACAUGGAACUCAAAUGUGUGAUAAGCUGCAGGAUUCAAACACAAGUGUAACUUAUAAAUACAUGUUCAUACUUUUAUUCCACAAUCAGAGAGAAAGAAACAGAGAGAGUGCAGGACAGACAGACAGGUGACAGUCUCAGGUGUAUACACUGCUACAAAACAGCACAAGAGAAGGAGGAUUUAGUGUUUGUGUUAUUACGAGUGCUAAACAAGAAGAGUUCCCAGAUGGUACAGUGGACACAUGAGUGACUCCUGUGAUUAAAGCAUCUUUCUUUCAGCUUAACGAGUGAACCGUC
ensembl:lncRNA